rfam:Pteropus alecto contig31582, whole genome shotgun sequence.
AUUUACAGCCAUGCUACGCUGAACUAGCCCGAUCCCAUCUGAUCUCGGAAGCUAAGCAGGGUUGGGCCUGGUUAGUACUUGGAUGGGAGACCACCUAGGAAGACCAAGUGCUGUAGGCG